CAGCGCCACAAGUGGGGACCAGCUUUAUUUGGCCUAAAGCGUCCGUAGCUUGUUCAGCAAAUCUUUUGUGAAAUCAUUAAGCUCAACUUAAUGGCAUGCAGAAGACACUACUGAACUCGGAACAGGGAGGCGUCAGAAGUAUUUUUGGGGGAGCGGUAAAAUGCAGUAAUCCCAAAAAGACUACCUGUGGCGAAGGCGUCUGACGAGAACUGCUUCGACGGUGAGGGACGACAGCCAGGGGAGCGAUCCGGAUUAGAUACCCGUGUAGUCC
rnacentral:rRNA from 1 species